rnacentral:rRNA from 1 species
GAAGGACGUUACUAACGACGAAAUGCUUUGGGGAGCUGUAAGUAAGCGUUGAUCCAGAGAUUUCCGAAUGGGGAAACCCAACAUGAGUUAUGUCAUGUUAUCGAUAUGUGAAUACAUAGCAUAUCAGAAGGCAGACCCGGAGAACUGAAACAUCUUAGUACCCGGAGGAAGAGAAAGAAAAAUCGAUUCCCUGAGUAGCGGCGAGCGAAACGGGAAGAGCCCAAACCAAUAAGCUUGCUUGUUGGGGUUGUAGGACACUCUAUACGGAGUUACAAAAGUAUAUAUUAGACGAAUCAUCUGGAAAGUUGAAUCAAAGAAGGUAAUAAUCCUGUAGUCGAAAAUAUAUACUCUCUUGAGUGGAUCCUGAGUACGACGGAGCACGUGAAAUUCCGUCGGAAUCUGGGAGGACCAUCUCCUAAGGCUAAAUACUCUCUAGUGACCGGAUAGUGAACCAGUACCGUGAGGGAAAGGUGAAAAGUACCCCGGAAGGGGAGUGAAAGAGAACUUGAAACCGUGUGCUUACAAGUAGUCAGAGCCCGUUAAUGGGUGAUGGCGUGCCUUUUGUAGAAUGAACCGGCGAGUUACGAUUUGAUGCAAGGUUAAGCAGUGAAUGUGGAGCCGUAGCGAAAGCGAGUCUGAAUAGGGCGUUGAGUAUUUGGUCGUAGACCCGAAACCAGGUGAUCUACCCUUGGUCAGGUUGAAGUUCAGGUAACACUGAAUGGAGGACCGAACCGACUUACGUUGAAAAGUGAGCGGAUGAACUGAGGGUAGCGGAGAAAUUCCAAUCGAACCUGGAGAUAGCUGGUUCUCUCCGAAAUAGCUUUAGGGCUAGCCUCAAGUGAUGAUUAUUGGAGGUAGAGCACUGUUUGGACGAGGGGCCCUUCUCGGGUUACCGAAUUCAGACAAACUCCGAAUGCCAAUCAAUUUAACUUGGGAGUCAGAACAUGGGUGAUAAGGUCCGUGUUCGAAAGGGAAACAGCCCAGACCACCAGCUAAGGUCCCAAAAUAUAUGUUAAGUGGAAAAGGAUGUGGCGUUGCCCAGACAACUAGGAUGUUGGCUUAGAAGCAGCCAUCAUUUAAAGAGUGCGUAAUAGCUCACUAGUCGAGUGACACUGCGCCGAAAAUGUACCGGGGCUAAA